rnacentral:rRNA from 1 species
UACAGAGGUCUCAAGCGUUGUUUCGGAUUCAUUGGGCGUAAAGGGUGCGUAGGCGGCGCGGUAAGUCGGGUGUGAAAUCUCGGAGCUUAACUCCGAAACUGCAUUCGAUACUGCCGUGCUUGAGGACUGGAGAGGAGACUGGAAUUUACGGUGUAGCGGUGAAAUGCGUAGAUAUCGUAAGGAAGACCAGUGGCGAAAGGCGGGUCU